AGUGUUGUCUCGUCUGGCAGAUUAUUGUGUAACCUCUGAUGUAGAUGAUCAAGCACCAACAUAUCAGACCAGGAGUGUUGGAGAAGUUUCAUUUGGUCGUCAACCUGUAAAAGAAUAGAUUUCCGUCAAUACAAGAAGCGGUUGAAUUACUUUCGAUUGGAAGACUCUAAAAGCUAGAGUUCAUAUGCAGAGGUCUUUAUUUCUUCAGUACAUGUUCAAUUUGUAUCUGGACGAGAACCAGCUUCAACGACUUAUGUAGCGUGCAUUAAUGUUCCUUUAUCUGUAAUGGCAAUCGGAAACUUUUAUUCUUCUAAAUGCCAGAACUGUGCCUGACAUUCACAUUAUUUUCAUGGGUCGAGGAUUCUUUGGGUCACAAAACAAGGCAUAUUUCUCCACCAAGCGAUAUUUAGUCUCUGUUUUCCGUCUCGCCUCUCUCAAAAAAAAAAAAAAAACCAAGUACAUUUAUAUGUUGAGAUUCUCAAUUUUACAAUAUGGGAAAAAUAAAAAAAAAUAAAAAAUAUUCAAAAAAAUACGGAAAAAAUAUUUUCCCCCAAAAAAAUGUAUUGAGAAAGAGGAAGAUAAUUUAAAUUUUGCAUUUUA